rnacentral:lncRNA from 14 species
CUUGGGUUUUAUUUACCGCACGUGUUGUUCAGUAUCCCUUUUUUCAGCCCUAAACUUGCCUAGGGUUGUGCCAUGCAGGGAGCAGAAGCAGAAUCAAGAGGUGACCCACACACUCAAGCUUGAUCUCCAACUUGAGAUCAUUCCUGGAGCUCCUCGCCCUCUGUGCCGUACCCAGUGGCCCCUUCCUCUGUUUUCUCUUGCUUAGGCUUGAGUGGCCGGUCACUGCCCAUUCUGCCCAGCUCCUCUCUGGUUCUCAGCUCGGAUCUCUGCCCCGUUCCAUUCUCCCAACUCAGCAAAUUCCUAGAGAAACAGCGAGUGAGACUUGGGCACAGGCUGGGCAGAGGCUUGGCUGAACACCAGGACAUUCAGCUUGGGAAAGUAGUGGGGGACGUGUGGAGAUAAGGAAGGAAAAAUGGAAGCUCAGGGGGUUGUAACAGAGGUAACCAAGCAGCUAGAGGCAGCAACUGAUGUUUAGCCAAGUACUUCCCUAACAAGGCACUGAUAGGACUUCAGCCACUGGACGACUGACAGUCUGAGGAAAGCCACCUCCCACUAGCGCACUGAGCACCGAGCUAACUCUACUCCACGGC